UUGCGGCCACAUCAUGUUCAAAUACCAGUUCCCAUAUCAUCUAAGUUAAGCAAUGUCGAGCCUGGUCAUUACCUAGAUGGGUGACCAUUUGGGAAUACCAAGUGUUGUAAG